rnacentral:rRNA from 1 species
AUGGCUUACACUCUGAACUUGAAGGAUACAUUUUGUCUCAUUGAAUGCUUAUUGGAUGACACAAAGGAUUUGAAAUGGUGUGGCGCUUUCUUAGCACUUCUUGUGCACUCAACUGUAAAAGAAGAUGAAGAUUUGACUUUUAGAAGGGGCCAACAAUGCUUUUCCCCAAUCAUACUUCCUUUUUUGCAAUUCGUUAUUUAUGUCAUAUAUAGUUUCUUUACUAUUGAAAUCAACCAUUGCAUAUUUACAAUUAAUAGCACUGAUAUCCGUUGCAUUUCUUGCGUAUAUGUUCUUUUACCAGACUAUGAAGCAUUGGAGAUAAUUAUUAAAAAUGUGCCUCUGUCCGUUGCAUUUUUCCAUUUUUUAUGA